AGCGUAGACGGUGUGGCAAGUCUGAUGUGAAAGGCAUGGGCUCAACCUGUGGACUGCAUUGGAAACUGUCAUACUGGAGUGCAGGAGAGGUAAGCGGAAUUCCUAGUGUAGCGGUGAAAUGCGUAGAUAUUAGGAGGAACAUCAGUGGCGAAGGCGGCUUACUGGACUGAAACUGACACUGAGGCACGAAAGCGUGGGGAGCAAACA
rnacentral:rRNA from 1 species